rnacentral:rRNA from 1 species
ACCGCCCGUCACACCACUGGGAGCUGGUAACACCCGAAGUCCAGUAGUCUAACCGCAAGGAGGACGCUGCCGAAGGUGGGAUUAGCGACUGGGGUGAAGUCGUAACAAGGUAUC